CCGAAAAAAUAACAAAAAAUCUACCAACAAGAAUUUCCAAAUUUCCACUUCCCCAGUCACGACAAAGAUCUCCUUGCCUCCUCCCCUUUGGAUUCUCUCCCUGUCCGUCCUCUACCUAAACCGGCGAGCUCGCGCUUCCCAAUCUCGCCGAAUCCCUCCACCUUCGUCUCGAGAAUCCUCCCAUUAACCUCCGGAAGGAGUCGAUUUAUGGGACGAUGGCAGUGGCUAUUGGGGUUAUUUUUAUCAGCUUAUUCGCUGUUUUUGGAGGAAGAGGUUAACUAUGGACUGCAAGAAGUUCAGCUCAUGACCUUUGGACAACCUCAUGUUGGCAAUGCUGCUUUUAUCUCCUACUUCAGCAAACAUGUACCACAUACUGCUUGGGUGACAUAUGAGAAUGAUGUAGUGCCACAUCUCCCACCAUAGUGUACUUAUUUCCCUCAAAAGACAUCAUCACUUCCCAUUUGAGGUACGGCUGCAUAACAUUGGAGCAGGAAACAGGACAUAUCUGGUUGAGAAGAUUUGUGAUGGAUCUGGAGAAGACCCAGCUUGUAGCAGGCCUGUGCAUGGGAACAACAUAUUGGACCAUCUUAAGUAUUAUGGCAUUGAAUUAGGGUCUGAUGGUUCAGGCUCCUGUAAAGUAGUAAUGGAUACCAAUAUUGGAGAGUACCAUGCGGACCUUGGUGGCAGCAAUGUCUUGUCAAGGGAUCCUACCACAUCAUCAUUUUGAAAGCUGAAUUUAUCAACAGAGGCUUGCAGUAGCUCUGCAUAGUAUUCAUUUACUUGUGAAUUGAUGCUAAAAGAUUUGAUGAUUCUCUGCUUGCUAAGGUCCUGGAGAAAUGUGUCAGUAUUCAGUGUAAAUGGUUCUAUUGUUCUUCCACGGUCACCGAGGUUGUGUAUAUAAAACUAACCUUUUUAACCAAUGGAACUCCAGAUUAUAUUGGUUGUUCACUGUA